GAUGAACGCUAGCGGCAGGCUUAAUACAUGCAAGUCGAGGGGCAGCACGAAUAGCAAUAUUUGGUGGCGACCGGCGCACGGGUGCGUAACACGUAUACAACCUACCUAUAACAGGGGGAUAGCCUUUCGAAAGAGAGAUUAAUACCCCGUAAUAAAUUGAGUGGCAUCACUUGAUUUUGAAAGCUACGGCGGUUAUAGAUGGGUAUGCGUCUGAUUAGCUAGUUGGUGAGGUAACGGCUCACCAAGGCGACGAUCAAUAGGGGAUCUGAGAGGACUAACCCCCACACUGGUACUGAGACACGGACCAGACUCCUACGGGAGGCAGCAGUAAGGAUAUUGGUCAAUGGAGGCAACUCUGAACCAGCCAUGCCGCGUGCAGGAUGACGGCCCUAUGGGUUGUAAACUGCUUUUGUACCAGAGAAAACCUACUCACGUGUGAGUAGCUGAUAGUAUGGUAAGAAUAAGCAUCGGCUAACUUCGUGCCAG
rnacentral:rRNA from 1 species